GAUGAACGCUGGCGGCGUGCCUAAUACAUGCAAGUCGAGCGAACAGACGAGGAGCUUGCUCCUCUGACGUUAGCGGCGGAGGGGUGAGUAACACGUGGAUAACCUACCUAUAAGACUGGGAUAACUUCGGGAAACCGGAGCUAAUACCGGAUAAUAUAUUGAACCGCAUGGUUCAAUAGUGAAAGACGGUUUUGCUGUCACUUAUAGAUGGAUCCGCGCCGCAUUAGCUAGUUGGUAAGGUAACGGCUUACCAAGGCGACGAUGCGUAGCCGACCUGAGAGGGUGAUCGGCCACACUGGAACUGAGACACGGUCCAGACUCCUACGGGAGGCAGCAGUAGGGAAUCUUCCGCAAUGGGCGAAAGCCUGACGGAGCAACGCCGCGUGAGUGAUGAAGGUCUUCGGAUCGUAAAACUCUGUUAUUAGGGAAGAACAAAUGUGUAAGUAACUAUGCACGUCUUGACGGUACCUAAUCAGAAAGCCACGGCUAACUACGUG
rnacentral:rRNA from 1 species